GGAAAGAUGGCAAUGGUGGAAAAUAGAAAGGAAUAGGGGGAACAGCAGUUGGGAUUGUGGGGACUGAGGGAAUGCUUGGCAGAGGGGGUAGUCCUGUUGGCAAUGUGGUAGGAAGUGGAGGAAGCGCCCCAGGCCAUGGGAAUGAUUGUCGGGAUGGCGUUGGGAGAUUAGAGAAAGAUGGUAAACUUCGCGGUUGAGGCUGCUGCAGAAGGUGACGAGCUGCUACCCCAACAUCAAUGCUUGCAAAUGACAAAGCAAUCAAGAAUGCUAAAGCAAGGCAAUUGAAAGAGGCCAUUUUUGUUCAGAGAUUUCGAAACAAAUGAAGCAGAUGAAACAAAGUUCUUUAUCUGAAUAGUUGUGGGUGAAGAAAACAAAGCACGGUAUUGAGGUUUAUAUAGGCAUUGGAGCAAUGAAUAGAAAUCCCCUGCCCCUAAACAAUGCCCCAUGCAUGCCCCCAAACCAAAAUAGCGCCACAUGUUUUUUAUUUUUUUCCAUUUUAGUUGUAGUUCAUUUUUUAAAUAAAAAUUUAUAAUGAUUUGGAUGAAUUUUUAACUUAUUAUCAACGUUUUUGUUUUUGUUUUAUUUUCUAUUAAUUUUACCUAUUCUUUAAUUAACAAAUUUAUAAUGACUUGGAAUUAAUUUAACAGUGUUUUUUUUUAUAAUCGUUCUUAUAAUAAAAUUUAAAAAGGUGGGAACGAGUCCCACAAUGACAACAUGAUCCAUGCCUUUAGUCAAAGGUUCAGAUAACAUCUGCUCAGUGUUAAUGUGCUCAAUGACGACUUUCUUUUCUUUAACAUAUUCCCUUAUGGCUAGAUACUUAAAAUCGAUAUGUUUACUUCGACUUUCACUUUUGUCGCUCUUAGCCAUAAAUACAGCAAUUGAAUUGUCACAAUAUAUGAAAUAAUCGAAACCUAUAAUGACUCAGCUCAAAAAACUCGAGCCUCAAACCCAAAUUAAAUUAAAUCAAAAUCAUAAUUUAUUAUAUACAAUUGCAUAAAAUUAACAUAAUUUAAGUGUCAUAGUGCACAUUAAAUUAAAGUUUAUGUUUGACAUUAUAGAUUGAAGCAAUAUUCAUGUGUAAAAUUUUGAGAUUUAUUUCCUUAAUGAAAGUAAUAUUUCAAAUAGAAUACUUGAACAAUCCUCCAUGUUGGCAAACUUUAUGUACAUUAGAAACGAACUAAAUAAUUAGAAUAAAUCUAAAGUAUGGCUUACAUUUAAUUUAUUCAUAAUGUGACUUAAACUUUGGCCUUCAAGAUUUCACGGUCUCAAAUUAUGUCUUAAAAUUUUAAGAUCAUUUUAGGUUUGUUAAAAACAUCAAUAGUUUAGAAAGUUAGAAUUGUUGCUUGAGGCGUGGAUUUCCCUAUUCUUUAGGAUAUUCGUGGAUUUACUAUCCCUCAAGAUUUAAUUUGUAUCAUGUGCAAUGAAAAAAUUGAAAAAGAAAAUUCCCAUUUGAAUGGAAUUGAGCUAUUAGGCUCAGGCCUCGUGUGCGCAUAUAUAUUCUCUUAUUUUGAGUCUUACAAGUUUAUAGUAAACCAAAUCUAUAUAAACAUCAUUUUAUAAGUGUAUCUAAGAUAUGUUUAAUAUGUGUAAUUCUUUAAAAUACAUGAAAACUUCAAAUGUGGUUUAGGUCAUUUUCAGAUUUGUCUUAUUUAGGUUCAAAUCAUUCGAAUUUGAGGCUAAGUUUUUCAUGUGUAAUCAUUAUUGAUCCGAAUCAUUUUAGAUUUUGAUCAUUUUAAGUUCUAAUUAUUUUGUGAUCAAAUCAUUUCAAGUUUAGAUAAAUUUGGGUCAAUUUUGAAUUUGACUUAAUUACGUAAUUAACCUUUUUUAUAAUAAAUUGAGCUGAAUGAACUUUAGAUUGGAAUUUAUUUAGUGUACCUUUGUGUUUAAGUUGAAAUUUAAACAUCUGUAUUAGAAAUACACAUGUUAAUACAAUUUUAUGUUAAAGACAAUAAUACGACAAAAUUAAUUUGGGAGAUAAACAUGUUAAUUUUUUAAUCCCAACCAAAAUUGUACAUAAUUGUUUUAUAUCAUAUUAAAUACAUGUAACGUCUUAUAAAAAUUGUCAAUAAAUUAUGCCUAGCGACAACGUUAUUCAAAUCUAAUUUCAUUGUUAAUACCUAUUUCUAUUUUUCUUCUAAUAUCUUCAACUUUAAAUAUAAAGGAAUUGAAAUUUUAAGAAUUGAGAUUUCUUUUCUUUAUAUUAGUGGACAUUUGAUUUUUUGUUUGAUUUUUUUUACUAGAAUUGAUGCAUAUCUUUUCAGAUUUAUCAAUAUUUUUUAAAAUUAUUUAAGAUAUGUAUAUAAAUAUAUUACAAAUAUAAAAUGAAUGAAACUAAAUACAUUUCAAAUAUAAAAUAUUCAUUAAUAAACUUAACAAAUAAAAAUUUAUCAUUCAAAGAAAUCCAAAAUUAUUAAUAAUAAUCCAUCAUUUAAUAUGAAAUUCUAAAGAUUUAGCUCAUUUACUUAAUAAAAGAAGGUGAAAGGUGGACGAAUAUUUUUUAUUUGAUAAUCAGGUAAAUGGUUUUUUCUUAAUUAUAUUUUGAAUGUGAAAGUAUAUUCCAUUUUUUUUUAAAAUUUACAUUCCGAUGUAGCGUUUUUAAUUAGUCACGUUUCAAUUAAGUUUUUAGCAUAAUAGUAAAUUAUUAAAAGUUUAAUAUUUUUAAUAUUAUUCAUGCAUAGGACGGUGCACUAUGUUCUGGCAGGUGUGACAGGAAUUGAUCGGAAUGAGUUGGUGCAAUUGGUACAGACCAAAAUUUUUACCAGUGUAGAAAAAGGGUUUUGGGUGUUUCGCAAUGUUAUUGAAACCAAACCAAACAGACCAAAAACCGAUGAACCCGAGAACUAGAGUAAACUGCAGUUAAACUGCAAAUCAUCAGCUGAUUAAGCCGCAUUUCGCAUUUUCUAGACUGGAAAACAAAAAUUUCACUUCAGAUCCCUUGAGCUUUUGUUACACUUCUUCUCUUAACUCAAAAUAAAACAAACCAUACAAAGAAUAAGCACUGUUUCUUUUAUUACUUUUUUAUUACUCAGUGAAAAACCUGGACUUAUAACAUUCAAUCAAAGGAAAAAAAAGACAAAUUAGGAAAGAUGAAAGAUGGGGAGAGGGUUUUAAAAUUCAAAGCCGUCAAAAUAGAUGAGUUUGGGGUUAUUAAUAUUAUUUUAUAUUGUUCAAUAGAAAAUUAAUUGUAUCGGUGGUUGAAUCUGUGAGAUCAAAAAUUAAUUAAUUGAUUAAUUUAAUUAUCAAUCUAAUUUUAAAAAUAUUAAUAUUUCGGUAUAAAAUUAAUACAGUGCACACAAAUUAAUAUAACCGAAAUCUGUACGAAACCGAGCACCUUAAUUUAAUACAUAAUUUGACAUUCAUAUAAAAUAUUAUCUUGGAAAUAUAUUGAAAGAGGAAAGUAAUCGUAUGUAAAUGGAUAACUUGGAAGAGAUAAUGAAGCAGGAAUCAUUAUAUUAACAGUGGCAUCUUCUCGAUGUACGGCGGCUCACUAUUUUGACUGCAUUUAUCGUUUGAUUCUUUUCUUAAUUAGCCAAACUCAUGUUAACAAUGGUAUAACAGUAAUUAAUUACUUCAUGGAUAGAACAUCAAUAUAUAAAUACCCCAUAUAUAAUAAGCAACAACGUUUCAAAAUACACCAAAUAAUGGGAAUUGGAGAACGCCCAUUUAUACAAACAAAUAUAAGUGGGCAAAAUCAAUACUCAUAAUAAAGACACAAAGACGACUAAAAACCUUAUUAAACUAGAUCCAGUAUGCAGCAUAACAGAAAAGGGGGUAUUUCAAGGAGUAGAGCGAGAAGGUGGUGGAGAAAAGAAAGGAAUAGAAGGAACUGCAGUUGGGAUUGAGGGAAUGCUUGGCAGAGGCGACAGUCCUCUUGGCAAUGUGGUAGGAAGUGGAGGAAGCGCCCCAGGGUUUGGGAGAUAAGGGAAAGAUGGCAAUGGUGGAAAAGAGAAAGGAAUAGGGGGAAUUGCAGUUGGGAUUGUGGGGACUGAGGGAAUGCUUGGCAGAGGGGGCAGUCCUGUUGGGAAUGUGGUAGGAAGUGGAGGAAGCGCCCCAGGCCAUGGGAAUGAUUGUCGGGAUGGCGUUGGGAGAUUAGGGAAAGAUGGUAAACUUUGCGGUUGAGGCUGCUGCAGAAGGUGACGAGCUGCUACCCCAACAUCAAUGCUUGCAAAUGACAAAGCAAUCAAGAAUGCUAAAGCAAGGAAAUUGAAAGAGGCCAUUUUUGUUCAGAGAUUUCGAAACAAAUGAAGCAGAUGAAACAAAGUUCUUUAUCUGAAUAGUUGUGGGUGAAGAAAACAAAGCAUGGUAUUGAGGUUUAUAUAGGCAUUGGAGCAGUGAAUAGAAAUCCCCUGCCCCUAAACAAUGCUCCAUGCAUGCCCCCAAACCAAAAUAGCUCCACAUGUUUUUUAUUUUUUUCAUUUUAAUUUUUUAAAAUAAAAACUCUGUAAUGAUUUGAAUUAAUUUUUAACUUAUUAUCAACGUUUUUAUUUUUGUUUUAUUUUUAUUUUACAUUAAUUUUACCUAUUCUUUAAUUAACAAAUUUAUAAUGACUUAGAGUUAAUUUGAGAGAUUUUUUUUUUAUAAUUGGUCUUAUAAUAAAAUUUUACAAAGCAGAAACAAGUUCCACUGUGAAAACAUGAUCCUUAAAUUUUUGGAGAUAACCAUGUUAAUUUUUUAAUCCCAACCAAAAUUCUAAAUAAUUCUUUUAUGUCAUAUUAAAUACACGUAACGUCUUAUAAAAAUUGUCAAUAAAUUAUGCAUAGUGACAAGGUUAUUCAAAUCUAAUUUCAUUGUUAAUACCUAUUUCUAUUUUUCUUCUACUGUCUUCAACUUUAAAUAUAAAGGGAUUGAAAUUUUAAGAAUUGAGAUUUCUUUUCUCUGUAUUAGUGGACGUUUGAUUUUUUAUUUUAUUUUUUUAUUGGAAUUGAUACAUAUCUUUUCAGAUUUAUCAAUAUAUUUUAAAAUUUUAUAAGAUAUGUAUAUAAAUAUAUUAAAAAUAUAAAAUGAAUGAAACUAAAUACAUUUCACAUAUAAAAUAUUCAUUAAUCAACUUAAGAAAUAAAAAUUUAUCAUUCAAAUAAUCCAAAAUUAUUACUAAUAAUCUCAUUUAAUAUGAAAUUUUAAGGAUUUAGCUCAUUUACUUAAUAAAAGUAGUUGAAAGGUGAAUGAAUAUUUUUUUUAUAAUCGGGUGAAUGGUUUUUUUCUUAAUUAUAUUUUUAAUGUGAAAGUAUAUUCUAAUUUUUUUUAAAAACUUUACAUUCCGAUGUAGCAUUUUUAAUUAGUCACGUUUCAAUUAAGUUUUUAGCAUAAUAGAAAAUAAUUAAAAGUUUAAUAUUUUUAAUAUUAUUCAUGCGCAGGACGGUGCACUAUGUUCUGGCAGGUGUGACUGGAAUUGAUCGGAAUGAGUUGGUGCAAUUGGUACGGACCGAAAUUUUUACCAGUGUAGAAAAAGGGUGUUGGGUGUUUCACAAUAUUAUUGAAAGCAAACCAAAAAGACCAAGAACCGAUGAACCCGAGAACUAGAGUAAACUGCAGUUAAACUACAAAUCAUCUGUCGAUUAAGUCGUAUUUUCACAUUCUUUAAACCGGAAAAACAAAAAUUACACUUCAAAUCCCUUGAGCCAUUGUUAUACUUUUUCUCUGCACUCAAUGAAAUAAAACACAACAUAAAAAAAAUAAGCACCAUCUCUUUUAUUACUUUUACUACUAAAAUAACUUUUUUUUUCUUGUGAAAAACCUAAGAUGGACUUAUAACAUAUAAUAAAAAGGGAAAAAAAAGACAAAUUAGGAAAGAUGAAAGAUGGGGAGAGGGUUUUAAAAUUCAAAGCCGUCAAAAUAGAUGAGUUUGGGGUUAUUAGUAUUAUUUUAUAUUGUUCAAUAGAAAAUUAAUUGUAUCGGUGGUUGAACCUGUGAGAUCAAAAAUUAAUUAAUUGAUUAAUUUAAUUAUCGAUCUAAUUUUAAAAAUAUUAAUAUUUCGGUAUAAAAUUAAUACAGUGCACACAAAUUAAUAUAACCGAAAUCUGUACGAAACCGAGCACCUUAAUUUAAUACAUAAUUUGACAUUCAUAUAAAAUAUUAUCUUGGAAAUAUAUUGAAAGAGGAAAGUAAUCGUAUGUAAAUGGAUAACUUGGAAGAUAUAAUGAAGCAGGAAUCAUUAUAUUAACAGUGGCAUCUUCUCGAUGUACGACUGCUCACUAUUUUGACUGCAUUUAUCGUUUGAUUCUUUUCUUAAUUAGCCAAACUCAUGUUAACAAUGGUAUAACAGUAAUUAAUUACUUCAUGGACAGAACAUCAAUAUAUAAAUACCCCAUAUAUAAUAAGCAACAACGUAUCAAAAUACACCAAAUAAUGGGAAUUGGAGAACGCCCAUUUAUACAAACAAAUAUAAGUGGGCAAAAUCAAUACUCAUAAUAAAGACACAAAGACGAUUAAAAGCCUUAUUAAACUAGAUCCAGUAUGCAGCAUAACAGAAAAUGGGGUAUUUCAAGGAGUAGAGCGAGAAGGUGGUGGAGAAAAGAAAGGAAUAGAGGGAACUGCAGUUGGGAUUGAGGGAAUGCUUGGCAGAGGCGGCAGUCCUCUUGGCAAUGUGGUAGGAAGUGGAGGAAGCGCCCCAGGGUUUGGGAGAUAAGGGAAAGAUGGCAAUGGUGGAAAAGAGAAAGGAAUAGGGGGAACUGCAGUUGGGAUUGUGGGGACUGAGGGAAUGCUUGGCAGGGGGGGUAGUCCUGUUGGCAAUGUGGUAGGAAGUGGAGGAAGCGCCCCAGGCCAUGGGAAUGAUUGUCGGGAUGGAGUUGGGAGAUUAGGGAAAGAUGGUAAACUUUGCGGUUGAGGCUGCUGCAGAAGGUGACGAGCUGCUACCCCAACAUCAAUGCUUGCAAAUGACAAAGCAAUCAAGAAUGCUAAAGCAAGGCAAUUGAAAGAGGCCAUUUUUGUUGAGAGAUUUCGAAACAAAUGAAGCAGAUGAAACAAAGUUCUUUAUCUAAAUAGUUGUGAGUGAGGAAAACAAAGCAUGGUAUUGAGGUUUAUAUAGGAAUUGGAGCAGUGAAUAGAAAUCCCCUGGCCCUAAACAAUGCCCCAUGCAUGCCCCCAAACCAAAAUAGCGCCACAUGUUUUUUAUUUUUUCCAUUUUAAUUGUAGUUCAUUUUUUAAAUAAAAUUUUUUUAAUGAUUUGGAUGAAUUUUUAACUUAUUAUCAACGUUUUUGUUUUUGUUUUAUUUUCUAUUAAUUUUACCUAUUCUUUAAUUAACAAAUUUAUAAUGAAUUGGAAUUAAUUUAACAGUUUUUUUUAUAAUCGUUCUUAUAAUAAAAUUUAAAAAGGUGGGAAUGAGUCCCACAAUGACAACAUGAUCCUUAAAUUUUGGGUGGUGGCAUGCCUUUAGUCAAAGGGUCAGAUAACAUUUGCUCAGUGUUAAUGUGCUCAAUGACGACUUUCUUUUCUUUAACAUGUUUCCUUAUGACUAGAUACUUAAAGUCGAUAGGUUUACUUCGACUUUCACUUUUUUACUCUUAGCCAUAAAGACAGCAAUUGAAUUGUCACAAUAUAUGAAAUAAUUGAAACCUAUAAUGACUCAGCUCAAAAAACUCGAGCCUCAAACCCAAAUUAAAUUAAAUCAAAAUCAUAAUUUAUUAUAUACAAUUGCAUAAAAUUAACAUAUUUUAAGUGUCAUAGUGCAUGUACAGCCCAAAUUUAGCUCGGGCCCCAAAACCUACCCAAACCCAAGUAACCAAUACAACUAGGGUUGAGCAAAAUUCGAUUCGACUCGAAAAAAUUGAAAAAAAAUUCGAAUUUCGAGUUAAACGAAUCGAGUUAUUCGAGUUAAUCGAGUUAUUCGAAUCAACUCGAUUUUUUUUUCGAAUUUCGAGUUCGAAUCGAGUUGAUUUUUCGAAUUCGAAUAACUCGAAUAAUUCGAAUAAUUCGAAUAUCAAAAUAUAAUAUUUUAGAGUUUUACCCUAAACUCCCAAACUUUUUUACUUUUCCCUCAAAACUUUUACUCCUUCCCACUUUUUCCCCAAAACUUUUACUCCCCUCCCCUCCCAACCCCCCAAUCUACCCAAAAUCUAUUUCCCACCAAAAUUUUACUCUUCCAUUCAUUUUUUUUUCCAAAAUUUUACUCUCAAAAACCCUCAAAACCUUUUAUUUUCUCCCAAAAUUUUUACUCCCUCCCACUUUUCCCCUAAAACUUUUAUUCUCUUCCCAUCCCACCUCCCAUCUACCCCAAACCCUCCCCCUCCAAUUUUUUUUUAAUAUUUUCCCUCCAAAAUUUUACUUCCCUUAUUUACUUUCCCUCAAACUUUUAUUCCCCAAAACUUUUUGUUUUCCCCCUAAACUUUUACUUCUCACCCUUUACUCUCAAAUAAAAAAUCAAAAUUAUCCAAAAAAAAUCACUAAACAUAAAUAGUAAUAAUUUUAUUUAUAUAUAAUAUUUAUAUUAUUAAAUUAAAUUUCACAUUUUAUAUUAUUUAUAUUAUUGAAUUGUUUAGUCAUAUUGAAUAUUUAUAUUAAAAUUGAAUUCUUAAUUAUGCCAUAAAAUAUUCGUGUUAAAAUUUUAUAUUGGUAUCAAUUUCAAAUUUUAUUUUUAAAAUAAAUUUUAUUAAAAAAAUCAUAUUUUUAUAUUUAAUAUAUUUUUUAAUUCCAAAAUACAUAGUGACAAGAAUCCGAAGAUAAUUGAAACAACUAAGCAAACAAAUAAGCUAACCAGUAUAUAAAAAAUUAAUAAAUAAAUUAUGAGGUGAUGAAAGUUAAUAAAAAAUUUGAUUAAGGUGGACAAAUUUUAUUACGAUGGGUGACAAUGGUUAUAAGGACCCAAAAUUAUUUUUUAAAAUUUAACUCGAACAAAUAUAUUCGAUUCGAUUCGAUUCGAAUUCCAUCUCACUCAACUCGAUUCGAGAAAACUUCAAAUAAAGUUAGGAUGAUAAAAUGAGAUUCGAAAACUCGAUUAACUCGAAAAUUUUCGAUUCAAUUCGAUUCGAUUCGAUCGAAUGCUCACCCCUAAAUACAACCCAAAUACAGACUAAAAAACCUAAGCCCAAAAACCAGCCCAAUAAGCCCAAAUCUAACCCUAGCCCAGAAACCCAAAUCAGAGACAAAAAAUAAAUUUUUCAAACCCUAGGUGCGCCGCACCUAGGGUUCUCUGCCCCGUUGGCCACCGCAUGCUAGGACCUGCUGCCACCGCCCUUGUCCCAUUUGCCUCUGACGCCUAGCCACUGCCACCGCCGCCUGCAGCACCAACUCCACUGCUCAACCCCUGCAAAAUGAAAACCAAACACGCAAAGCAGAAGCAAAAACAAUGCAAAAUAGUAGAAAAAAUAGAUAAAAAAAUGUAUUGUAAAUUGGCUAUUAAAGCCUGGAUCUCAGCCUUGUAAUCUUUCUUCUUUUGCUUUCACGAACGUUAGAAAAUAAAAACAAAAAAAAAGUUUCAAGAUGAUUAUCUUUAUUAUUUUAGAUUUCGAUUUUAUUUUAUUUUAUUUUCAUUUUAUCUUCUUAUUUUUAAGCACGAAAAUAAAAAAGAAAAGGAGAAAGAAACAUACCUGAAUCAGCCCUUAGAUCCGUCGUUAUCAGCCCUUCGACGCCGUCGGAUUCAGGUUUAGGGAAGGGCUAAGACCCUUUUUUUUUCUCCUUGUUUCCCCAUUCUAAGAUUUUGGUCUUUGAACGCGUUUCAACGCACUGAUCGAGAACGCCCUCUUGCAACGCCGGCCGUCAGCCACGGCGGCGCAAGCGAUGGUCCUGUUGGCUGAAUUUAGAGGGAUCGAGAGAGAGGCUAAGAGCUCUCUUUUUUUUUCUGAAAAAUGAAGUUGGAAAUGUUGUUUUUUUUUGUUUUUUUUACUAUUUAUAUAGGGUAUAAAACGAUGCCAUUUUGGACCUUUACAUCGGUGGCCAAAACGACGUCGUUUUGCCCUGACCCGAGCGGUGACCCGACCCUGGGGGGAGGAUCCGCGUGUUUUCUUAAAAAGGGAUAUUUUCGUGCGCGAUCCAUCUGCUUUUGCAAAGCGUUGCAAUUUGCCCUUUUUUCCUUCUUUUCUUUUAUUUCAAUUUAGCCGCAUAAUUUUAUUUUUGUUUCAUUUUAGUCCCGCGUAAAGUGAUGCAUUUUGAAGGACAGGAUAUUUCCUUUUUGGUCCCCCUGCUUUCCUGCGCAUCACAAAUUAAUCCUUUGCCUAUUUUAUUUUUGAUUUCUCCCCUGGGAUUUUGUUUUGUUUUCAAUUUAGUCCCGUUAUUAUUAUUAUUUAUUAAACUAAUUAGUUUUAUUAUUAUUAUUAUUAUUAUUGCAUUUAUUAUUAUUACCUACCUUAUUAUUAUUAUUUACCCAUUUAUACCGUUUUUAGAUUUUGUUAUAUAUAUACAUACUUACAUAUUUUUAAUUUUUAUAUAUGUACGUACUUAUAUUUUUUAUAUACUUUAUACUUUAUAUAUACAUAUAUACAUACAUAUUUUAAUAUAUUUUUAAACAUAUAUAUACAUUAUCAUUAUUUACUUGUUUAUAUAUAUAUUUUAAACUUUGUUGUAUUUAUACACAUAUAUUUUUAUAUUUUUAUAAUUUUUUUAUUUUCAUUAUUACUAUUAUUGUUUUAUUCAAAAUUUAUUUAUUUAUUUACAUGUCUAUUAUUAUUAUCAUUAUUUUUUUAAUGUUUUAGUUUUUAUUUGUUUAUUACUUGUUAUUGUGUAUACAUGAUUGAUUUUUUUUAUAUUUGUAUUCUUAUUUAUUUAUCUUUCUGUUUUUGCCCAUAUUAUUUUUACUUACAUUAUCAUAAUCGUUAUUCCAUUACAUCAAUUUUUACCCAGAUUCGUAAAAAAGAAAAUUUUGAAAAUAAAGGCAAUACUCAGUAUUUGGGAUUUUCGAGAGGAUUGAGCCCUAACGCAUUGGGUUCCAAUUUUCUUCGUUGAAUCUAAAUAAUCGAGAACGCUCUUUAAUCAAAAAACAUAAAUAAAAAGUUCAUUAUCGAGAAUUCAAUACGUUGUGUCCUAACGCAUUGCAUAUGACACGUUCUUUUCUCGAAAUAAUGAUUUUUCUAAAAAAUAAUAAAGGCAAUAUUCAAUGUUUAGAAUUUGAGAAAUUGUGCCCUAACAUAUUGGGUUGCGAUUUUUUCAUCUGACUUAAACAAUUGAAUAUCCUUUUAAAUUUUAUUGCACGAGUUUUUUGGGCAAAUUCAUUCUUGAGGAGGUGAAAUAUCAUGCCCUAACUCAUUGGGUGUGACAUUUUCUCUCUCCGAAAUGAGAGGGUCUUAACGGGUAAUUUGAUUUAUACAAGUUUUUUUAAUAAAUGAUUGUAUUUUAAAUCUCUUUAGAGUUUCUAAUUCUCGACACCAAGACACUAAAUAAUCAACUACGUACCAAUCUUGGGCGUUACGAGGGUGCUAAUCCUUCCUCACAUGUAAUCGACUCUCGAACCCAUUUUUCUGAAUUUAGUGGACCAAGAUCGUUGUUUUAAUAAAAUCAAAUCGUUUAUUAAAAACAACCACUUUUUAAGGUGGCCCAAUCACACCUCAUCAAAAAAGAUUUGUGGCAACUCCCAUUUUCGUUUCAUUUUCAAAACCCAAGUCGACCCCAUUUUCACAAAAAAUUGGUGUCAACAAUGCACAUUAAAUUAAAGUUUAUGUUUGACAUUAUAGAUUGAAGCAAUAUUCAUGUGUAAAAUUUUGAGAUUUAUUUCCUUAAUUAAAGUAAUAUUUCAAAUAGAAUACUUAAACAAUCCUCCAUGUUGGCAAACUUUAUGUACAUUAGAAACAAACUAAAUAAUUAGAAUAAAUCUAAAGUAUGGCUUACAUUUAAUUUAUUCACAAUGUGACUUAAACUUUGGCCUUCAAGAUUUCACGGUCUCAAAUUAUGUCUUAAAAAUUUUAAGAUCAUUUUAGCUUUGUUAAAAAAAAUCAAAAGUUUAGAAAGUUAGAAUUGUUGCUUGAGGCGUGAAUAUCCCUAGUCUUUAGGAUAUUCAUGGAUUUACUAUCUCUCAAGAUUUAAUUUGUAUCAUGCACAAUGAAAAAAUUUAAAAAAAAAUUUCCCAUUUGAAUGGAAUUGAGCUAUUAGGCUCAAGCCUCGUGUGCGCAUAUAUAUUCUCUUAUUUUGAGUCUUACAAGUUUAUAAUAAACCAAAUCUAUAUAAACGUCAUUUAACAAGUGUAUCUAAAAUAUGUUUAAUAUGUGUCAUUCUUUAAAAUACAUGAAAACUUCAAAUAUGGUUUAGGUCAUUUUCAGAUUUGUCUUAUUUUAGGUUCAAAUCAUUCGAAUUUGAGGCUAAGUUUUUCAUGUCUAAUCAUUAUUAAUCCGAAUCAUUUUAGAUUUUGAUCAGUUUAAGUUUCAAUUAUUUUGUGAUCAAAUUAUUUUAAGUUUAGAUAAAUUUGGGUCAAUUCGAAUUUGACUUAAUUACGUAAUUACCUUUUUUUUUAUAAUAAAUUGAGCUGACUGAAAUUUAGAUUGGAAUUUAUUUAGUGUGCCUUUGUGUUUAAGUUGAAAUUUAAACAUCUGUAUUAGAAAUACACAUGUUAAUACAAUUUUAUGUUAAAGACAAUAAUACGACAGAGUUGAUUUGGGAGAUAAACAUGUUAAUUUUUUAAUCCCAACUAAAAUUGUACAUAAUUCUUUUAUGUCAUAUUAAAUACAUGUAUAAAAAUUGUCAAUAAAUUAUGCCUAGCGACAACGUUAUUCAAAUCUAAUUUCAUUGUUAAUACCUAUUUCUAUUUUUCUUCUAUUGUCUUCAACUUUAAAUAUGAAGGAAUUGAAAUUUUAAGAAUUGAGAUUUCUUUUCUUUGUAUUAGUGGACGUUUGAUUUUUCGUUUGAUUUUUUUACUAGAAUUGAUGCAUAUCUUUUCAGAUUUAUCAAUAUUUUUUAAAAUUAUUUAAGAUAUGUAUAUAAAUAUAUUACAAAUAUAAAAUGAAUGAAACUAAAUGCAUUUCAAAUUUAAAAUAUUCAUUAAUAAACUUAAUAAAUAAAAAUUUAUCAUUCAAAUAAAUCCAAAAUUAUUAAUAAUAAUCCAUCAUUUAAUAUGAAUGGAUAUUUUUUUAUUUGAUGAUCGGGUGAAUGGUUUUUUCUUAAUUAUAUCUUGAAUGUGAAAGUAUAUUCCAUUUUUUUUUAAAUUUACAUUCCGAUGAAGCAUUUUUAAUUAGUCAAAUUUCAAUUAAGUUUUUAGCAUAAUAGUAAAUUAUUAAAAGUUUAAUAUUUUAAAUAUUAUUCAUGCACAGGACGGUGCACUAUGUUCUGGCAGGUGUGACUGGAAUUGAUCGGAAUGAGUUGGUGCAAUUGGUACAGACCGAAAUUUUUACCAGUGUAGAAAAAUGGUGUUGGGUGUUUCGCAAUGUUAUCGAAACCAAACCAAACAGACCAAGAACCGAUGAACCCGAGAACUAGAGUAAACUGCAGUUAAAUUGCAAAUCAUCAGCUGAUUAAGCCGUAUUUUCACAUUUUCUAGAUUGGAAAAACAAAAAUUUCACUUCAAAUCCCUUGAGCUUUUGUUACACUUCUUCUCUUAACUCAAUGAAAUAAAACAAACCAUAAAAAGAAUAAGCACCGUUUCUUUUAUUACUUUUUCUAUUAAAAUAUUAUUUUUUUUCUCGUGAAAAACCUGGACUUAUAACAUUCAAUCAAAGGAAAAAAAAGACAAAUUAGGAAAGAUGAAAGAUGGGGAGAGGGUUUUAAAAUUUAAAGCCUUCAAAAUAGAUGAGUUUAGCGUUAUUAAUAUUAUUUUAUAUUAUUCAAUAGAAAAUUAAUUGUAUCGGUGGUUGAACCUGUGAGAUCAAGAAUUAAUUAUUUGAUUAAUUUGAUUAUCGAUUUAAUUUUAAAAAUAUUAAUAAUUCGAUACAAAAUUAAUAUAGUGCAGACAAAUUAAUAUAACAGAAAAUUGUACGAAACGAGCACCUUAAUUUAAUACAUAAUUUGACAUUCAUAUAAAAUAUUAUCUUGGAAAUAUAUUGAAAGAAGAAAGUAAUCGUAUGUAAAUGGGUAACUUGGAAGAGAUGAUGAAGCAGGAAUCAUUAUAUUAAAAGUGGCAUCUUCUCGAUGUACGGCUGCUCACUAUCUUGACUGCAUUUAUCGUUUGAUUCUUUUCUUAAUUAGCCAAACUCAUGUUAACAAUGGUAUAACAGUAAUUAAUUACUUCAUGGACAGAACAUCAAUAUAUAAAUACCCCAUAUAUAAUAAGCAACAACGUAUCAAAAUACACCAAAUAAUGGGAAUUGGAGAACGCCCAUUUAUACAAACAAAUAUAAGUGGGCAAAAUCAAUACUCAUAAUAAAGACACAAAGACGACUAAAAACCUUAUUAAACUAGAUCCAGUAUGCAGCAUAACAGAAAAGGGGGUGUUUCAAGGAGUAGAACGAGAAGGUGGUGAAGAAAAGAAAGGAAUAGAGGGAACUGCGGUUGGGAUUGAGGGAAUGCUUGGCAGAGGCGGCAGUCCGCUUGGCAAUGUGGUAGGAAGUGGAGGAAGCGCCCCAGGGUUUGGGAGAUUAGGGAAAGAUGGCAAUGGUGGAAAAGAGAAAGGAAUAGGGGGAAUUGCAGUUGGGAUUGUGGGGACUGAGGGAAUGCUUGGCAGAGGGGGUAGUCCUGUUGGCAAUGUGGUAGGAAGUGGAGGAAGCGCCCCUGGCCAUGGGAAUGAUUGUCGGGAUGGCGUUGGGAGAUUAGGGAAAUAUGGUAAACUUUGCGGUUGAGGCUGCUGCAGAAGGUGACGAGCUGCUCCCCCAACAUCAAUGCUUGCAAAUGACAAAGCAAUCAAGAAUGCUAAAGCAAGGCAAUUGAAAGAGGCCAUUUUUGUUCAGAGAUUUCGAAACAAAUGAAGCAGAUGAAACAAAGUUCUUUAUCUGAAUAGUUGUG
rnacentral:lncRNA from 1 species